rnacentral:rRNA from 1 species
GCCCAGACUCCUGCGGGAGGCAGCAGUGGGGAAUAUUGCGCAAUGGGCGAAAGCCUGACGCAGCGACGCCGCGUGGGGGAUGACGGCCUUCGGGUUGUAAACCUCUUUUACCACCAACGCAGGCUCGAAGUUCUCUUCGGGUUGACGGUAGGUGGGGAAUAAGGACCGGCUAACUACGUGCCAGCAGCCGCGGUAAUACGUAGGGUCCGAGCGUUGUCCGGAAUUAUUGGGCGUAAAGAGCUCGUAGGCGGCGUGUCACGUCUGCUGUGAAAGACCGGGGCUUAACUCCGGUUCUGCAGUGGAUACGGGCAUGCUAGAGGUAGGUAGGGGAGACUGGAAUUCCUGGUGUAGCGGUGAAAUGCGCAGAUAUCAGGAGGAACACCGGUGGCGAAGGCGGGUCUCUGGGCCUUACCUGACGCUGAGGAGCGAAAGCAUGGGGAGCGAACAGGAUUAGAUACCCUGGUAGUCCAUGCCGUAAACGUUGGGCGCUAGGUGUGGGGACUUUCCACGGUUUCCGCGCCGUAGCUAACGCAUUAAGCGCCCCGCCUGGGGAGUACGGCCGCAAGGCUAAAACUCAAAGGAAUUGACGGGGGCCCGCACAAGCGGCGGAGCAUGUUGCUUAAUUCGACGCAACGCGAAGAACCUUACCAAGGUUUGACAUCACCCGUGGACUCGCAGAGAUGUGAGGUCAUUUAGUUGGCGGGUGACAGGUGGUGCAUGGCUGUCGUCAGCUCGUGUCGUGAGAUGUUGGGUUAAGUCCCGCAACGAGCGCAACCCUUGUUCCAUGUUGCCAGCACGUAAUGGUGGGGACUCAUGGGAGACUGCCGGGGUCAACUCGGAGGAAGGUGGGGAUGACGUCAAGUCAUCAUGCCCCUUAUGUCUUGGGCUGCA